UACGUAGGGGGCAAGCGUUGUCCGGAAUCAUUGGGCGUAAAGAGCUCGUAGGUGGCUUGUCACGUCGGGUGUGAAAGCUUGGGGCUUAACUCCAGGUCUGCAUUCGAUACGGGCUGGCUAGAGGUAGGUAGGGGAGAACGGAAUUCCUGGUGUAGCGGUGAAAUGCGCAGAUAUCAGGAGGAACACCGGUGGCGAAGGCGGAUCUCUGGGCCAUUACUGACGCUGAGGAGCGAAAGCGUGGGGAGCGAACAGG
rnacentral:rRNA from 1 species